CAGCGCCUAACACAUGCAAGUCGAACGGUUUGUAGCAAUACAAAUAGUGGCGCACGGGUGCGUAACACGUAGCUAACCUGCCUAAGACUGGGGGAUAGCCCGCCGAAAGGCGGAUUAAUACCGCAUAACAUCCUUUACUGGCAUCAGUGAUUGAUUAAACCUGAGGGGGUCUUAGAUGGGGCUGCGGGUCAUUAGCUAGUUGGUGCGGUAACGGCGUACCAAGGCGACGAUGACUAGGGGAGCUGAGAGGCUGGUCCCCCACACGGGCACUGAGAUACGGGCCCGACUCCUACGGGAGGCAGCAGUAGGGAAUAUUGGGCAAUGGGCGAGAGCCUGACCCAGCCAUGCCGCGUGCAGGAAGAAGGCUUUCUGAGUCGUAAACUGCUUUUGAUAGGGAAGAAUAAGGUGUACGUGUACACCGAUGACGGUACCUACAGAAUAAGCACCGGCUAACUCCGUGCCAGCAGCCGCGGUAAU
rnacentral:rRNA from 1 species